UACAGAGGUCCCAAGCGUUGUUCGGAUUCACUGGGCGUAAAGGGUGCGUAGGCGGCCGGGUAAGUCUGUUGUGAAAUCUCCAAGCUUAACUUGGAAACUGCAGUGGAUACUAUCCGGCUCGAGGAAUGGAGGGGAGACUGGAAUACUUGGUGUAGCAGUGAAAUGCGUAGAUAUCAAGUGGAACACCAGUGGCGAAGGCGAGUCUCUGGACAUUUCCUGACGCUGAGGCACGAAAGCCAGGGGAGCAAACGGG
rnacentral:rRNA from 1 species